GGGGCCGGGCAGGCCGGGGCCGGGGCCGGGCGCGGGCAGCGGCGGGCAAGGGGAUAGAGCCCACCCCGACCCUUCCCUCCCGCCGCUCUCCGCAGCUGGCAGAGGACAGGAGCCGAGCGGCCGAGCACCUGCGCCAGGCCCUGCCCUACCAGCAGAGCCCACAGGAGCUCCUGCGAGAGGCGGGCGUCCGGUUCAUGGGGCUCGCCGGGCGGAGUUUGAGGGGGCAGCAGGAAGAGCUGUAGCUGAUCUGCAGAGCCCUUGAAGACGUGGCAGAUGACGCCAGCCUUGCUGUCCGAAUCCUGGCAAUUCAAACUUUGUACUUUCUCAGGGCAGUAGAGCAGCUUCUGAUAUCCGUGUUCCAGAGGCUGCGAGAUCAGCUCCACCGGGCAUGGAGAACACGGCCUCGUCUGUCAGGCCUCGGCUGGCUGCACUGCUGGAGCUCUGCGGGGAGCUGAUCUGGGAGGCUCUGUCUGCUGGGGCCACCUGAGCCAGCAGGGGUUUUCUUUUUCUUCAAGAUUGUUCUUUUCUUCUUUGUGUUUUACUUUAAUGUCGAAAUAUAGGAUGUGUU